GAAGCCCCACCCAUAGAGCGAGGUUCGGAAGUCCAGUCUCAUUAGCAUCCCUUGUCUUCCGCGGUGUUGCAGACUUAUCCUCAGCUCAAGCGAGUUUGGGGCGUUAUGGAGCCAGCCAAGUCUCCCCUUGCUGGCGUGGGUACUUGUGCAGAAACUUCCCGAGGUGCUUCUGAGACUGCACAGUGAAGACCGCCGCACCGGAGGUCAGCGCUCCGCCGCGGACUCCCGGCUGACUCUGCCACUCUCCCAGGAGGAGGCGCUGUGCACCUCUGGGUGGUUUCCAGGGCUCGGCUGGCGGUAGAGGGAGCCUUGAGGUUGGAAAAGAUCUAGAGCUAUAAUCUCCGAAAGGAAGAUUUGUAAUGCACUGCGAGUUAGAAAUGUUUUUCUCACUGCAGCUUCCUUGUUUCAAAAAGAGAAUUUUUGACAGCACUGCAAAGGCACAAGAAACCAGGCACAGUAUAAAAUAUACAAAUAAAACAGGUACCAAGGAACUUAAAACAUUCAACCCAUAACGUCGUCUAGGUUUUUCUGCUUUAAGAAAAUUGACUCAAUUCUUCCAAGAGAAUAACCCUAUUAAAGGCUAAAAAUGGAAGCUCCCAGUUAUGUAGAAGAUAUUUCCAUCUGGAUCCGUCUUAGAAAGUGAAACAGGAAAUGGCUUAAUCCUAGAGGAGAAGAUAAGACUGGAGAAAUUACUGGGGAAAGGGCGGUUAAGGGCUUUCUGCAAGUGCUUGAGACUAUCCCUGUGGCACCCCCUACCACAGCCCUAGGAACAAUAGCAUAAGAUCCUUGCACCAAUAAAUGUCACAGAAAGGAUGGAGUUUUCUGCCUUUAAAUGUAAUGUGGACUUUGGCAUUGAGCAUCUCAGCAGCCACUGUGAUGAAUUGAAGACCAGAGAAAUUUUCCUAUUUUCUGGGCACUAGGUCAAAUUCCUGGAAAUAUCUGGAGGGUAAGAACCAGUGAAUGAAAAGAGAUGGUUAAUGCUUUGCAGUGAAGGAAAAGUGACUCGCAUCAGUAGAUUACUAUGAAGCUGCAAGAGGGCCCAGAAAAAAAAGUCACCUUGGAUUUCCAUUCAUGAAUACAUACUUCUGUGACAUAGGAGGUGUGAAAGAAGCAUUUGCUGAAUGAAAUAAAACUUCCUGAAAUGUAAAAAUAGGCAAGGGUUUGUAGCCAUACACUAAAAAUUAUUGUAAAGCACUGUCACUGUUAGCAUGGCCAAGAUAUACCUAGAAGAACACUUUUCGUCUUCUUGUAGCACUGCUUCUUGGAUGUGAUAGGUGCUCCACAAAUAUACUAUUAAUUUAAUUAAGCAAAUUUGAUUUAGAAUAAUCUCCUGGCCAAAUGCCUAGGGAUCUUGAACCUGAACUAAUUAUAGUCACAAAGAAGGGCUUGCAUUUGAAAUCUUCGAGGGUUAAGAAUGGUCAAAUACAUGUCACAAAGACAAUAAAAAUAUUCCAAGGGCA